rnacentral:lncRNA from 10 species
AUCGCCAAGUCCAAGAACCACACCACACACAACCAGUCCUGAAAAUGGCACAGAAAUGGCAUCAAGAAACUCCAAUCACAAAGGAACCCCAAUCACUAAUCUCUAAAGGGAGUGGACCCCAAGUUCCUGAGGAGCAUACACUUUGCCAAGAAGCACAAGAAAGGCCUAAAGAAGAUGCAGGCUAACAAUGCCAAGGCCAUGAGUGCACGUGCUGAGGCUAUCAAGGCCCUUGUAAAGCCCUUGAGGUUAAGCCCAAGAUCCCAAAGGGUGUCAGCUGCAAGCUCGAUCAACUUGCCUACACUGCCCACCCCAAGCUUGGGAAGCGUGCUCAUGCCCGCAUUGCCAAGGGGCUCAGGCUGUGCAAGCCAAAGGCCAAGGAUCAAACCAAGGCCCAGGCUGCAACUCCAGCUUCAGUUCCAGUUCAGGCUUCUAAAGGUGCCCAGGGCCCUACAAAGGCUUCAGAG